GAGCUGAUGGAUGCUCGUCCAAGCAGUGAGGCUGGUGUGUAGGCAAAUCCGCACACUUUAAGGCUGGGCUGUGACGGGGAGGGAAAAUUAUAGUACCGAAGGUCAUGAUCUCACACUGCCAAGAAAAGCCUCUAACCAGGUGAAGGUGCCCGUACCGCAAACCGACACAGGUAGGCGAGAAGAGAAUUCUAAGGCGCGCGGAAGAACUCUCGUUAAGGAACUCGGCAAAAUGACCCCGUAACUUCGGGAGAAGGGGUGCCCCGGUAGUGUGAAUAGCACGAGGGGGCCGCAGUGAAAAGGCCCAAGCGACUGUUUAGCAAAAACACAGGUCUGUGCGAAGCCGCAAGGCGAAGUAUACGGGCUGACGCCUGCCCGGUGCUGGAAGGUUAAGGGGAGCGGUUAGGGAGUAAUCCCGAAGCUGUGAACCGAAGCCCCAGUAAACGGCGGCCGUAACUAUAACGGUCCUAAGGUAGCGAAAUUCCUUGUCAGGUAAAUUCUGACCCGCACGAAUGGCGUAACGACUUGGGCGCUGUCUCAACGAGAGAUCCGGUGAAAUUUUAAUACCUGUGAAGAUGCAGGUUACCCGCGACAAGACGGAAAGACCCCAUGGAGCUUUACUGCAGCUUGAUAUUGGAUUUGGGUACGAUCUGUACAGGAUAGGUGGGAGCCUUUGAAACCUGAGCGCCAGCUUGGGUGGAGGCGCCGUUGGGAUACCACCCUGAUCGUAUCUAGGUUCUAACCUGGUACCGUAAUCCGGUAUGGGGACAGUGUCAGGUGGGCAGUUUGACUGGGGCGGUCGCCUCCUAAAGAGUAACGGAGGCGCCCCAAGGUUCCCUCAGAAUGGUUGGAAAUCAUUCGAAGAGUGCAAAGGC
rnacentral:rRNA from 1 species